GGUGAAUAUGGUUUUAUUUAGCAGCAGCUCUCUUACACGGUUUACUCAAACUAGCUCUUUUACAUUGUCCACCCUGUCUCAACUGCUUAGUCUGGUGGCUCCCACAUACACCUGUGCAGCAGGCUUUCCCUUGCCUUCAGGGUCAGCAGCUUAACUCUUUUUCUCUCUGGGCAUGAGCAAGCCAAGCUGUGUCCUGGCUCCCUCCUGUCCAUCUGUAAAAUGGACAGCUUUGGCUCUCUCUGUCUCUCUUUCUCUGGGUGCCAGUGCAUCCCCCAUGUCAAGCCAUGUUGAGCCGAGCCAAGCCCCCAGGUCCCCCGUACAGCAUUAACAGGGCAGACAAUAGUGGCUCAGAGCCAAGUAUGAACUUAACACAAACAAGUUAUAUAACAAGUGAAGGUGUGCGCCUGCGCACCAAACUCACUGAGUUACGCAGGCCUUGGAUAUCCACCUCGGCCUGUUCCUUGACCAAAGCACAUCCAUAUGUACCUUACACUCCACCCCCUAGGCCAAACGAGACAUAUGCCUUGGACACACAGGUUUGAUCCACAGGUUUGGCAUACAGGCCUGACAUAUAAACUUUGGGCAUGCAGGCCCAAUACAUACACAGGCUUGACACAUAAGCCUGACACACAAGCCUUGGGCACACAAGCCCGAUACAUACAUAAGCUUCUGGGUACGCAGGCCCCUUGCAUACAUAAGCUAUGAUAAACUGCCCAGCUACUGGCGCAGAUUACCUUAGGUGUCACCUCCUUGGUGAUUACCAUUCACACUGCCUUGAGUUUAGCUUAUUAACCACUUUGCCCAUACCUGCUUUCAAACCAUAUGAUGUCAGUACUAGCCUGGACUGCACCAGCAGUCCAGGCAGCAGUAGCACCCCAGCUGGACCCACUUGUACACGAUACCCUAUUAGGAAUGGGGGGGUGUGCUUCCUAAUGGUGAAGGCUUAGGUCUAGGGGUGCCUCAGGCCUCAUGGCCUCAUCUUGCAUUAGGACUACUACUCAGGAGGCUGAGGCAGGAGAAUUGCUUGAACCCAGGUGGCGGAGGUCGCAGGGAGCUGAGAUCGUGCCCUGCACUCCAGCCUGGGCGACAGAGCAAGACUCCAUCUCAAAAAAAAAAAAAAAAAAGAAAAAGAAAAAAGAAAAAGUCCAUUGUUGCCCUCCCAUGAAGGCAAACUGUUCCUGGCUCUCUGGACAAGAAGUCCCAGUUCCGUUGUCAAGCGGUCGGCAAGUCCGUGACAGACAAUACAGCUGCCAAGCCGUGCAAAACAUCCACCCCCAGAAUGUCUUCAGGUAUGUGAGACACAUACACAGUGCAUAAGUGGAGAGCCAAGCAGCGGAUGCCAAGAUGCAAAGACACAGGUUUUACUUUCACUGACCAACUUUCAUAGCUGUUCAUGCGGCUCUGCCCGGAAACUUAUCCGGGUUCAGAGACCAGUGGAUUGCCAAAUCCACAUGUGGCUCUGGUUUUCCAGUGCCCCGCAAGCCGGCACCUUGGCCAGUUCUCUUAUCAAGCAGAAAAGGCUUUACACUUCCGCCAACUGCAGCAGGUACUCUUUGAACUGGAAUGCUCGAGUAGGACUAGGUUGCGCAGCAAUGUCCUUCUCCCGAAUGACUUGCACUAAGUCUGUACACAACUGGCGACAUUAGUUGCUUAACUCCCUCAAUUCAGCGGGGACACAGGCACCAUAGGAAAUGUGUUCCACCACGAUGGGGGGUCUCUGGGCCUCCUCUUGGGGCCCAACAGCUGUUCAUGCUCUAUUUUCUGACGGACUACCGGGCAAGCCUGCAACGGAGGUUCCUCCUCCCUGCGCUGCAUCCUGCAGGGAUUGGGCAUUCAUUUCCCUCAGCAUAGUCGCAAAUGCCCAUCUGACUCUGCUGGCAAAGGCCCUGUCCUACCAUGAGCUGAAGAGGCAGCAACAUACGUGUUUGGAGUUUAGUAGGGACUGAGAAGCGGGGAAAAGAACUGCCUAACCAAAGAUAAAUGUUGGAAUCAACUUGUCAAGUAAAAAAAAAAGAAUCCAGUUGGAAUUUUGAUUAAAGUU
rnacentral:lncRNA from 10 species